UACGAAGGGGGAGCUAGCGUUGCUCGGAAUCACUGGGCGUAAAGGGCGCGUAGGCGGCUUAUCAAGUCGGGGGUGAAAGCCCGUGGCUCAACCACGGAAUGGCCUUCGAUACUGGUAGGCUUGAGACCGGAAGAGGACAGCGGAACUGCGAGUGUAGAGGUGAAAUUCGUAGAUAUUCGCAAGAACACCAGUGGCGAAGGCGGCUGUCUGGUCCGGUUCUGACGCUGAGGCGCGAAAGCGUGGGGAGCAACAGG
rnacentral:rRNA from 1 species